UAAUCUCCUCUUUCACUUUUUCCUCUUUCGCAUUUAAGAUUGAAAAAAACCCUAGUAGAGCAUAUUCUCUGCCUCUUCUUCAAAUUCAUGGAGGAUCUACCAGCGUCGGUGUCAUCUCGCUGUCGAUUUGAGUUUGCACCGUCACCGCGAACCUCAUUCUAGAAGGAAGAUUCACCUCGGUUCACCGCUACUGCAUUUUUGCCGCUAUCCCCGUGACUCUGUUCGGAUCCUUCAUGUCGUGUGAUCGCGUCUGACCUCUCUCCUCCAUCUGAGCUUGGCUUCUCGCGCAUUUCUCGCCUCCGCAUCUACUCGAGCUGUGCUUCCUGCUCGUGUCGUCAUCGCGCCUUCCUCACCUGUCUCCCUCCUCGCAUCUCAGCAAUAACCACCAGAGAGAGUUUAAUUUGUCUUCUACGAUCUUGUUCAUCUUUUUUCAAGCACAAGAUUUCUUCAGAAUGGAAGAGAAUUUUGGGCCUAAUUCAAAGAAAAUUAAGCAACAAUGGACACCACACGAAGAUACAAAACUAAUUGAAUGUUUGGUGGAGCUUGCAACUACUUCUUGAAAGUGUGACAAUGGCAUAUUCAAAUCUGGUUAUGGAAAAUAUUUGAAAAAAAUUCUCCAUGAAAAGAUCCUUAGAUGUGCUCUUAAGGUACAAUUUUUUUACAUAAUACUUAUCUUUUUCA